UACGGAGGGUGCAAGCGUUAAUCGGAAUUACUGGGCGUAAAGCGCACGCAGGUGGCUGAGUCAGUCGAUUGUGAAAGCCCUGGGCUUAACCUGGGAAUUGCAGUCGAUACUACUCAGCUAGAGUAUGGGAGAGGGUAGUGGAAUUCCCGGUGUAGCGGUGAAAUGCGUAGAUAUCGGGAGGAACAUCAGUUGCGAAGGCGGCUCUCUGGACCAGCACUGACACUGAGGCACGAAAGCGUGGGGAGCAAACAGG
rnacentral:rRNA from 1 species